rnacentral:rRNA from 1 species
GCUUGUCUCAAAGAUUAAGCCAUGCAUGUUCAAGUAUAGCAAGUGUACAGUGAAACUGCGAAUGGCUCAUUAAAUCAGUUAUCAAAUACGUGAUGGUCGCCUACUACAUGGAUAACCGUAGUAAUUCUAGAGCUAAUACAUGCAUCAACCCCCGACUUUUGAAGGGGUGUAUUUAUUAGAUUGAAACCAAUGCGGGUUCGCCCGGUAUUUGGUGAUUCAUAAUAACUUUCGGAUCGACUUCGGUCGAUGCAUCAUUCAAGUUUCUGCCCUAUCAGCUUUGGAUGGUAGGGUAUUGGCCUACCAUGGCUUUAACGGGUAACGGAGAAUUAGGGUUCGAUUCCGGAGAGGGAGCCUGAGAAAUGGCUACCACAUCCAAGGAAGGCAGCAGG